rnacentral:miRNA from 1 species
GCGGAGAAGGUGGAACUG